rnacentral:sRNA from 1 species
CAAUAACGGGGUCAUCCCGGCACUUAUCAGGCUGAUAACGGUAUACCGAUGGACUGAUGCCAACAACGCGGCAGGCAAGUCGGAUACUGGUUUGAUGUACAUUGAGCACAUAAUCAACCAGUUCACGCCUGACCGCUGGCUUC